UGUACAAUAAAGCUGUAC
rnacentral:snRNA from 1 species